rnacentral:rRNA from 1 species
AUUGAACGCUGGCGGCAGGCCUAACACAUGCAAGUCGAGCGGAGCGGCGGAGGGGUGCGUAAUGGCUAGGAAUCGGAAAGGUAGCGGGGGAUAACGUCAGGAAACGGGCGCUAAUGCUGCAAACUCUCAGAUGAGCCUGGGUCGGAUUAGGUAGUGGGUGGGGUAAAGGCCUACUAAGGCGACGAUCCCUAACUGGUCUGGGAGGAUGAUCAGUCACACUGGAACUGAGACACGGUCCAGACUCCUACGGGAGGCAGCAGUGGGGAAUAUUGGACAAUGGGCGAAAGCCUGAUCCAGCCAUGCCGCGUGUGUGAAGAAGGUCUUCGGAUUGUAAAGCACUUUAAGUUGGGAGGCGUUACCAACAGAAUAAGCACCGGCUAACUUCGUGCCAGCAGCCGCGGUAAUAC